rfam:Myotis brandtii contig307340, whole genome shotgun sequence.
GGCAGUUCUCGGGUAACGCACCCCAAAAUCGGGCUCCCUCCUCUCUGGUUCUGGGUGCGUCACCGAAAAACCACA